rnacentral:rRNA from 1 species
GACGAACGCUGGCGGCGUGCCUAAUACAUGCCAGUUGAGCGCUGAAGGUUGGUACUUGUGCCAACUGGAUGAGCAGCGAACGGGUGAGUAACGCGUGGGGAAUCUGCCUUUGAGCGGGGGACAACAUUUGGAAACGAAUGCUAAUACCGCAUAAAAACUUUAAACACAAGUUUUAAGUUUGAAAGAUGCAAUUGCAUCACUCAAAGAUGAUCCCGCGUUGUAUUAGCUAGUUGGUGAGGUAAAGGCUCACCAAGGCGAUGAUACAUAGCCGACCUGAGAGGGUGAUCGGCCACAUUGGGACUGAGACACGGCCCAAACUCCUACGGGAGGCAGCAGUAGGGAAUCUUCGGCAAUGGACGAAAGUCUGACCGAGCAACGCCGCGUGAGUGAAGAAGGUUUUCGGAUCGUAAAACUCUGUUGGUAGAGAAGAACGUUGGUGAGAGUGGAAAGCUCAUCAAGUGACGGUAACUACCCAGAAAGGGACGGCUAACUACGUG